rnacentral:rRNA from 1 species
AGUGAACGCUGGCGGUAGGCCUAACACAUGCAAGUCGAACGGCAGCACAGUAAGAGCUUGCUCUUACGGGUGGCGAGUGGCGGACGGGUGAGGGAUACAUCGGAAUCUACUUUUUCGUGGGGGAUAACGUAGGGAAACUUACGCUAAUACCGCAUACGACCUACGGGUGAAAGCAGGGGAUCUUCGGACCUUGCGCGAUUGAAUGAGCCGAUGUCGGAUUAGCUAGUUGGCGGGGUAAAGGCCCACCAAGGCGACGAUCCGUAGCUGGUCUGAGAGGAUGAUCAGCCACACUGGAACUGAGACACGGUCCAGACUCCUACGGGAGGCAGCAGUGGGGAAUAUUGGACAAUGGGCGCAGGCCUGAUCCAGCCAUACCGCGUGGGUGAAGAAGGCCUUCGGGUUGUAAAGCCCUUUUGUUGGGAAAGAAAAGCAGCAGGUUAAUACCCCGCUGUUCUGACGGUACCCAAAGAAUAAGCACCGGCUAACUUCGUG